rnacentral:rRNA from 1 species
UACGAAGGGGGCUAGCGUUGCUCGGAAUUACUGGGCGUAAAGCGCACGUAGGCGGCUUUCUAAGUCGGGGGUGAAAUCCUGGAGCUCAACUCCAGAACUGCCUUCGAUACUGGAGAGCUCGAGUCCGGGAGAGGUGAGUGGAACUGCGAGUGUAGAGGUGAAAUUCGUAGAUAUUCGCAAGAACACCAGUGGCGAAGGCGGCUCACUGGCCCGGUACUGACGCUGAGGUGCGAAAGCGUGGGGAGCAAACAGGAUUGAG